rnacentral:rRNA from 1 species
GACGAACGCUGGCGGCGUGCCUAAUACAUGCAAGUAGAACGCACAGUUUAUACCGUAGCUUGCUACACCAUAGACUGUGAGUUGCGAACGGGUGAGUAACGCGUAGGUAACCUGCCUGGUAGCGGGGGAUAACUAUUGGAAACGAUAGCUAAUACCGCAUAAUAUUAAUUAUUGCAUGAUAAUUAAUUGAAAGGUGCAAUUGCACCACUACCAGAUGGACCUGCGUUGUAUUAGCUAGUAGGUGAGGUAACGGCUCACCUAGGCGACGAUACAUAGCCGACCUGAGAGGGUGAUCGGCCACACUGGGACUGAGACACGGCCCAGACUCCUACGGGAGGCAGCAGUAGGGAAUCUUCGGCAAUGGACGAAAGUCUGACCGAGCAACGCCGCGUGAGUGAAGAAGGUUUUCGGAUCGCAAAGCUCUGUUGUAAGAGAAGAACGGGUGUGAGAGUGGAAAGUUCACACUGUGACGGUAUCUUACCAGAAAGGGACGGCUAACUACGU